CAUGCUGGGAUACCGCGGGCCGGUUUCCAUAGCAACCGAUCGAAUUUACACAGGCUUUCGACGGGCAGGAAAGGCCCUCGUGCGUUCUUUGCCAUGAAGCCCGCGCGCCACUGUCUGCAGCCACCUCCCCCGGCUUGAAAAGGGGAGAACCUGCGACAUGUUCUCCCAUCCCCGCCCGGUUCAGGAUAGUAAUGAAGCCAACUCUUACAGAGUGUUUUCACAUAUAGCAUCUCCUCUGAGCCUCCCAACAGUUCUGUGAGCCUCCUUUUGGGGAUGGAAUUUCAGAACUUCUUUGAAGCCCUUAUGAACCAGGAAACCUUCAUUCAGCACCUCGAAAUCGAAUCCUGCCACGUGCAGCUCACAGGCCUGUGGAGGGAGAGACAGAAGUGUGAUGACAUUCCUAGAGCAGAGACUGGCAUCCCUGCUUGCUCCAGCAUUCCCAGUCCUCUGGAGGCACCAUGGAUCUUCCAACCAUUCAACCACUUCCUGAACUAUG